rnacentral:rRNA from 2 species
UUAAAUUGAAGAGUUUGAUCAUGGCUCAGAUUGAACGCUGGCGGCAGGCCUAACACAUGCAAGUCGAACGGUAACAGGAAGCAGCUUGCUGCUUUGCUGACGAGUGGCGGACGGGUGAGUAAUGUCUGGGAAACUGCCUGAUGGAGGGGGAUAACUACUGGAAACGGUAGCUAAUACCGCAUAAUGUCGCAAGACCAAAGAGGGGGACCUUCGGGCCUCUUGCCAUCGGAUGUGCCCAGAUGGGAUUAGCUAGUAGGUGGGGUAACGGCUCACCUAGGCGACGAUCCCUAGCUGGUCUGAGAGGAUGACCAGCCACACUGGAACUGAGACACGGUCCAGACUCCUACGGGAGGCAGCAGUGGGGAAUAUUGCACAAUGGGCGCAAGCCUGAUGCAGCCAUGCCGCGUGUAUGAAGAAGGCCUUCGGGUUGUAAAGUACUUUCAGCGGGGAGGAAGGCGAUAAGGUUAAUAACCUUGUCGAUUGACGUUACCCGCAGAAGAAGCACCGGCUAACUCCGUGCCAGCAGCCGCGGUAAUACGGAGGUGCAAGCGUUAAUCGGAAUUACUGGGCGUAAAGCGCACGCAGGCGGUCUGUCAAGUCGGAUGUGAAAUCCCGGGCUCAACCGGGAACUGCAUUCGAAACUGGCAGGCUAGAGUCUUGUAGAGGGGGGUAGAAUUCCAGGUGUAGCGGUGAAAUGCGUAGAGAUCUGGAGGAAUACCGGUGGCGAAGGCGGCCCCCUGGACAAAGACUGACGCUCAGGUGCGAAAGCGUGGGAGCAAACAGGAUUAGAUACCCUGGUAGUCCACGCCGUAAACGAUGUCGACUUGGAGGUUGUGCCCUUGAGGCGUGGCUUCCGGAGCUAACGCGUUAAGUCGACCGCCUGGGGAGUACGGCCGCAAGGUUAAAACUCAAAUGAAUUGACGGGGGCCCGCACAAGCGGUGGAGCAUGUGGUUUAAUUCGAUGCAACGCGAAGAACCUUACCUACUCUUGACAUCCAGAGAACUUUCCAGAGAUGGAUUGGUGCCUUCGGGAACUCUGAGACAGGUGCUGCAUGGCUGUCGUCAGCUCGUGUUGUGAAAUGUUGGGUUAAGUCCCGCAACGAGCGCAACCCUUAUCCUUGUUGCCAGCGGUCCGGCCGGGAACUCAAAGGAGACUGCCAGUGAUAAACUGGAGGAAGGUGGGGAUGACGUCAAGUCAUCAUGGCCCUUACGAGUAGGGCUACACGUGCUACAAUGGCGCAUACAAAGAGAAGCGACCUCGCGAGAGCAAGCGGACCUCAUAAAGUGCGUCGUAGUCCGGAUUGGAGUCUGCAACUCGACUCCAUGAAGUCGGAAUCGCUAGUAAUCGUGGAUCAGAAUGCCACGGUGAAUACGUUCCCGGGCCUUGUACACACGCCCGUCACACCAUGGGAGUGGGUUGCAAAAGAAGUAGGUAGCUUAACCUUCGGGAGGGCGCUUACCACUUUGUGAUUCAUGACUGGGGUGAAGUCGUAACAAGGUAACCGUAGGGGAACCUGCGGUUGGAUCACCUCCUUACCUUAAAGAA